GAUUUCAAGCAGCUGUCCAGGUUGACGAGCUGCCGAAAAUCGGCUGGAGCUCAUUCCGACUUUGAGCCUGGUUGUGAACACAUCAAAAAAAGUUUUCAAUCUCCAAAAACUAACAUCUUUUGGAACACUUAAUUUUGUUUGUGAACACCUGUACUCUCUGUCGAAACCAUCCUCCAUCACCUCUUCCUGUUCCUGCUCCUACGCCAGCUGACUACGCUCAUCAGGAUGUGCUGCAAUCCCGGUGGCUGCUGCGGUCUGCCCGCCUGUAUCCAGUGCACCAACUUCUGCUUCAACUGCUGGACCGGCACGGCGAGCGUUCCCAGCUGUCGCCCUGGCUACACACCAGCCUGUCCGCUCUAUCGCGGCUGCUGCGGUGGGCCUCGAGGCUGUUGCUAGCUUCCCGUCUCUCAUAGAAAAUCAUCCGUGAAUAAAUCUUAACAAAAAGAUACCAACACCCGAGAA